UAUGAUUUUGUUUUCAAAAACUGGAAUAUACUAAAAUAAUACAUACUAAUGUGAACUAUUUCUAUGUUUAGAAAUGGUUUCGGAGCGCACAUAGUUAAAACUAGGGGUGGGCAAAAAAACUGAACCGAACCGAGUCAAACAGAACCAACCGAACCGAAACCGAUUCAAACCGAACCAAAGUAUAUUUUAAACUGUUCGAUUGAAGAUUUUCCCAAACCGAAUGGUUCGGCUCACCGAACCGAAAAACCGAUGUGUUUUUGUAAUUAUUUAAAUUAAAAAUACUAGUAAUACCAAUACUAAAAUUCUAAUACCAAAUUACGUAUUUUCCAUUUUUUAUUUAUUAACAUAUAUUCUUGUGACCUAAUAUGUAAUCAUCAAAAUGUUUGAUUUAAAAAAAUAGAAAAAAUUGUAUUUUUAUAUUCUUAUAUAUGUAAACGUGGAAACCUAAAACCUAAAACCUAAAACCUAAAGCAAAUUUUAGUGUCACAUGGAAGAUGAUUCAGUGAAGGCUUUUUAGUAAUGAUAUAAGAGACAUUACUAUUGAUGUUGAUUUUUUUUUUAAUUUUAGUUAACUUUCAUUCAUUUUAAUUCUUAUAUACUUUUUGUCACUCUUUUAAAGGUUUUUGUUUCAGUUUUAUAUGGAAUUUAGUUCACAUAGUUUAUGUUUACAUAAUUUAUAUUUUAAAACAUAAUUCUCUAAAAAAUUAAGCUAAGAAGAACCUAAUUAAACUGAUCCAAAAAACAAACCAAAACGAAGACAAACCGAACCGAAGACAAACCGAACCGAAUAUAAACCGAACCAAACACAAACCGAACCGAACCAACUAACUAUGGUUUAUUUUGAUUGAAAAAAUACUAGAACCAAACUACGCAAAUCGAACCGAACCUGAACCGAACCGAGAAAAUAACCGAAGUGCCCACCCCUAGUUAAAACUCUCGAUGAUGAUGAUCUUCGUUACACUGGAAGUCCGCAUGAGAAAAAAAAUGAAAAAAAAAAGAGGAGAAUGAGGGAGGGAGGGAGAUUCAGAUGGAGAUAGAAAGGAGAGAAGACUAUUUAAUAUAUUAUUCUAUAUUUAUUGAGCAUAUAGUAUAAAAUAUAAUAAAAUUUCAUUUUAAACAUAUUAUAUCUAGUGUUAAAAAACAUAUUAUAUAUUUUUGAAAAUAUAUAUCUUUUCGGAAAAAAAUUUAUAUUGUGUAUGACGUUGAUACACCAUAGUUUCACUUUAAAAUACAUAAUUUAAUAAUUUAUCAUCAUUUUAUAAAAAAAAAUAUAAAUAUGUGUUAUUCUAUAAGGUUGAUAUAGUAUAGUACUUAGCUUUGGUCUUAAAGUUUUUUAACUGAUUUUAUGAAAAAUAUAUGUCAGUUUGAAAUUUUUUAAACUAUGGUAUAUGCAGAAAAAAAUCUAUGUUAUAAUUUCUUGAUUUGAUUAUCUUAAUACAACAACUAUAGAUCAAAUGAAAUUAGAGGGGGAAAGGAAAAAAAAAAGAAAACAAAAAGGAAAAAGAUGAAAACCAGUGGUUAAGAUUGAUUAGGGGUAGCAAUUGUAAUAUUACAUAAUAUAUACACAAUACUUUAGCCAUGAGUUUCAUAUGGUCAUUUGUCAAAUUAUAAUUUUUUUUUAUAGUUAUACAAUGCAAAUUCCCUAAAAGUUUUUCUUUCAUAUAUUUUGUCAAACACAUGAAAUGCAUGUAAUGUGUUUCCAUUUGCAAAUACUUUUCAUUCUCCAUAACCAUCUUCACGUGCAUGCAUUAGAACAUAAACUGAAAUCAAAUCUUGAUUGGCAAAUCAAAUGAUUAGUUUGAGUUGAACUAAAUUUUGACAUUUGUACUUUUUGUUACAAAAGCUGUAAAAAAAUUAUUAAUUGAUAAUUUGGGUAUCUAAAAGGAUGUAAACUUUUUUUUUUUUGAAACACUAUUAACUUUUAGUUAUUUAUAAUCGAUUUUUUCGUAUUUAAUAUUUUAAUUGGUAAACUUUUAUCACAGAUCUUUGCAGACUCAUUGUCUCCCUCUCUUCUCCUCCUCCGCAGAUCAUUGGAUUAAGAGGUACAAUGUCUCUCUAAUUUCUAAUUUCUGUACAUUACCACUAUUCCAGUUUGGUUUGGGACUCAAAUCAUUUGAAAUAACUAGGAUGAAAAUAUUGGUUAAUUCAGGGUUCUGAUAUAAAAUAUCAAGUAAUUUGAAUUGUUCAUAUUAAAUUAUCGGAUGAUUUGCAUAAUUUAAUAUUAUUUGGAUAAAGUUAUUCAUGCGAUUUUGUAUUUUUGGGUAGUUCAUUUUUAUAUAAUAUUAUAUUUUAACAAAUAUAAUUUUUCUUAGAUAUACAGUUAUUGUAAACUAAAUAUAGCUACUAUUUCCAAGAAUGUAAAUUAUAUCAAGGAUAUUCUGUGUAUCCAUUAGGUUUUGGAUUUUUUGGUAUAUAAAAUGCUAGGCCUGGUAUAUAUAGAGAUAUGGGUUGUUUGAAAUUUUUUCUUCUUGAUAUUUCCCAUUCUCAUGAAUCUCAUGAUGCGACUGCUUUAGAGACCUCCAUACCAAGAUAUUGUCAAUAUUGGUCCUGGGGUGAAACUACACGUCGUGGUCAAGUUCUCGAAGCUGAUGGGGAGAAAGCUAUUGUUUAGUUCUAGGUUGGUGGCCACUUGUGUCUUUUUGGGAUGUUGCUUUUUGGUUACGCCCAUGCUUUCUGUAGGAGUAGCUUCUGAAUUGAGUUACUCUAAUGGGCAUAAGAAUCCAAAAGAGGUUAGUGAGGCAGUUCAAUUCACGUUGAACAGAAAACCUAAGAUUUUACUCCAGUGGACCCCUCAUGCUUCUCACAAGAUUAAGCUAGCUGUGAGGGGAGAUUUUCCAAAAGCAUCUGGUGACUACAAGUGGCUUAGCUCAGAUAUGAGGAUUGUGUAUGUGUCAUCCUAUGGAAAGAGGCCUGGAAUAGCCAUUGUGAAGACUGUAUCGAAUCGUGAUCCUCAGAAUUUUGAUGAGAUUCUUGUCAGAGUUUUCGCAAGCCACGAUAAUGUAAGCUGUGAUAUGAUCCUAGAGCCCAUACUGAACAAUGACCAGCUCGAGCCAAACUGUAUCUUGAAACCAAACCUUAUAUCCAUGGAUUGCAUUGACAUGACCCUCCUAGUAUACUCUCCCGUUGGUGGUAUCAUUGCUAUACUAUUACAUUAUUUUUGUGUUUUUCGACACAGUUGCUAUGUUAUGCAUGAUAAGUGCCAUCGUUCUAGAAGACGGUCCAGACGGAUGUCUAUACGGCACAUGUAUAGGCGCUAAGCAGCUACAGUUAUGUUAUUCCUCCUCCAUUUUAUUUAAAUAACGUUAUUAGAUUUGCUAAGUUGUUAUACACUACAUUUUAAUUUGUCAAGGUGUUAUUCACUAAUACGCUACAUCAUCUCUUCUAUCUAUUGCUAUCAAAAUGUUUUGUAGCCUGGUGGUAGUAUAAGAGGAUUUUUUUUUUUUGAUGAAAUAUCAAACUGAUUGAGAAAUUAAGAUGGCAAUUUACAUGUGGUUGGCAGAAUAUAAAGAAUUUUUAAGAAAAUAAUAACUAGAGCUGGCUAAAUAAAACAUAUCUAGAGCUGUCUAAACAUCUGUCUUAAAAUGUGUUUCCAUUUUCAAAUACUUUUCAUUCUCCAUAACCAUCUUCACGUGCAUGCAUAAGAACAUAAACUGAAAUCAAAUCUUGAUUGGCAAAUCAAAUGGUCAGAUUAAGUUAAACUAAAUUUUGACAUUUAUACUUUUGUUACAAAACCUGUUAAAAAUUUAUUAAUUGAUAAUUUGGGUAUCUAAAAGGAUGUAAAAAUAAUUAACUUUUAGUUUUUUUUGAAACAGUAUUAACUUUUAGUGAUUUUUUCGUAUUUAAUAUUUUAAUUGGUAAACUUUUAUCACAGAUCUUUGCAGACUCAUUGUCUCCCUCUCUUCUCCUCCUCCGCAGAUCAUUGGAUUAAGAGGUACAAUGUCUCUCUCAUUUCUAAUUUCUGUACAUUACCACUCAUUUAAAAUAGACACCAUCGUUCUGGGUAGAGAAUUGUUCGGUGUGUUAUGGCGAAUAGGGAUCUAUACGUUUUAUCCGAUUCACAGAUUCAUCGUCGCAAAUUGAUAACUUAGAUUCACGUCGGCAGAUAUCUGCUGAGAUUUUCAGAUAUAUCUUGUCAUGUUCUAUUGCCCACUACAUUCCCUCAUUUGAAUGUAUGGGUAAAAUAUAAGUGACAUUUGUAGUUUUUAAAAUCUUUUCUAAAACAGAAUUCGAAGAGAUUUAUUCUUUAGAAAGAAUAUGGGAUGUGGAAAGACACAACAACACUUUUAAAGCACCUACCAAUCAAGUCCAUAUAAAUCGUUCUGGUUUAUAUGAAAUUUGGUUCGAUUCUGGUAAACAUAUUGGGAUUCUGGCAAACAUAUUGGGAAUCUGCUAACACCUGAAUUUUUUUGGAUCCGACUGAUUCCAGUUCGGUCCUUUAGAUAGCUUCAACAAACUCGGAUACAAACAUCCUUUAAUUUGAGGUUUUCAGAUAAAAUAUCAAGAAAUUUUCUUUGUUCAUAUUAAAAUAUGGGAUGAUUUGCAUAAUUAAUACUACAGUGAAAACUCUAUAAAUUAAUAACGUUAGUACUAUGACAUUUUAUUAAUUUUUAGAUUUAUUAAUUUACCAAAGUUUCAUUUUUAGAUUUUUCUAUUUCAAGAUAUAUUUUUUCCUUAAAUAAGAAAAAUAUUUUAUUUUAGUGUAUAUGCAUUAAUGUAUUUUGAAAUUCGACAUUUAUAUUGGUUCUAUUAUAUAAUUUGGUGUAUAUAAAAUAUAUAUAUCCUAGAAUUUAAAUGUAGUUUAGAUAUAAUUUUACUAAAUAUCAUCAAACUAUAUUAAAUGUUAACAAACUAUAUUAAGCGUUAAGAAUAUAUAAAGAUAAAUUCAUUCUAAAUAUACGACAAACAAUAUAAUGAUUGGUUUGUACAUAUAUAAAAUGUGUAUACAUAUAAAUUAUUAAUUUAUACUUUUAAUGAGAUCAUUUAUUUACAUAAGAUUUUCUAAAACGUUAUUACCUUAUUAUCUUAUUAUCUUAUCGAUUUGUAUUAUAUUUUGAACCGGCCCAACUUGGGACCGGAGAAAUUUAUUAAUUUAUAGUAUUUCUUAAUUAAUUUGCCGAGUAUUAAUUUAUAGAGUUUCUACUGUAUCCGGAAAAAAUAUUCAGACAAUAUAUUCUGUCUUUUUGGGUCCUUCAUUUUGAAGAGUAUUAUAUGUCGCAAAAAUAAUUUGUCGAUUUUUUUAGAUAUAUAGUUAUUUAAAAAUAAAUGUAGCUACCAUUUUUAAGAGUGUAUGUGUCUCGGAUAUUCGGUUCUCGAUUAGGUUCUGGUUCGGUUUUGGAUUUUUGGUAUUUAGAAAUAGAACCGCUAGGGUUUUACCAGUCCAAUUUUGGUAUAGUUCGACUGUUUCAGAUAAAAUGUCUAGUCCUAGAAUAUAUAGAGAGAUGGGUUGUUUGAGAAUUUUUCGUCUUUGUAUUUCCCAUUCUCAUGAAUCUCAUGAUGCUACUGAUUUAGGCUUUAGAGACGUCGAUACCAAGAUCGAUUUUGGGGUGGAACUACAGGACGUGGUUAAGUUCUUGAAGCUGAUGGGGAGAAAUCUAUUGUUCAGUUCUAGGUUGGUGGCCACUUGUGUCCAUUUGGGAUUUUGCUUUUUGGUUACGGUCAUGCUUUCUGUAGGAGUGGCUUCUGUAUUGGGUUACACCAAUCGGCAUAAGAAUCCGGAGGAGAUUAGUGAGACGGUCCAAUUCACACUGAACAUAAAACCUAAGAUUUUACUCCAGUGGGCCCCUCAUGCUUCUCACAAGAUUAAGCUAGCUGUGAGAGGAGGUUGUUCAAAAGCAUCUGGUGACUACAAGUGGCUUAGCCCAGAUAUGGGGAUUGUGGCUGUGUCAUCCUAUGCAGUUAUCCAGGUAAAGAGGCCUGGAAUAGCCAUUGUGAAGACGGCCGGUAUCGAAUCGUGAUCCUCAGAAUUCUGAUGAGAUUCUUGUCAGAGUUUUCGCAAGCCACGAUAAUGUAAGCGAUGAUAUGAUCAUAGAGCCCAUACUGAACAAUGAUCAGCUCGAGCCAAACUGUAUCUUGAAACCAAAGCGUAAGGCUUGCUUGCUCAUGAUGUUGCUAAUACACUGUCUCGUUGGUUGGACACUUGUUAUUUUAAGUCACUAUUGUUGUUUUGGAGGACGUACUGGCUAUGCAAAGCAUCUUAAGUCUCAGUGUUUUGAAAAACGGUUCAGACGUUUGCCUAUUCCGCGCAUAGAAGCUAAGCGGCUGUAGAUCAUCAAACGAUUUAUGUCUAGAAGUUGAAAUAAGGUUUGUUUGCUAUCGAGUAGAAUUAUACUAAACAAGAU